rnacentral:lncRNA from 1 species
UGCAUGAAUAGCAGUGAUAAUACCAAAUAUAUUAACUACAUGUACUCACAAUAUAAGAACACACCGGAUAAUGAAUAUCAGUUCAAUAUAAGAACUUUUUUUUUUUAAGUCGACAUAUAUACGACGCUUGGCUUAGAUUUCAGAGCGCAUCACACUUAUUCAUAAAACAUUCUACAAUUAUAUCAAAGUUAAGAAUUCGGUAGUGCAAAUAAACAAUGGAUUUCAGAAUAACAACGAAACAUAUUUAAUCAAUGCCCAGUGCAAAUGUUUCGUGAAUAAUCAUUUAAAUAAUAAAUAUCAAUAUGAUACGUCGGUACUGCAAAAACGCCCACAAAAAUGAAAUUAAAUUUGAUAGAGGUAGUAAUCCAUUUGCAAUUAGUUUAUAUAUAUACAAGACGAAGAUGGAUUAUCAAUUAACUCAAUAGGAACAUCGUAAUAUCUAUUAGGUAGGUCGAUAAGACGAGAGCGUAACAUUUUGACCUUACCGAAAAAGAGGUACUAAAAAGCGGAAGACAUUCAAAUAUGAAGCAACCUACAGAAAACUUAUGCGUUAUCCCAAAGGUUCCUUUGACAUACAGAGUAUAUGGCAUUCUUCCGUUAUGAAGUAUCGAAUUCAACGUACCAAUUACGACCGGACGUGCCUGUGAAUUUAACAUAUCAGCCUUUUAGACAAUCUACUUUCGCAAAAGUUACACAUGUUCCAACCGACAGAAGAACUACAGGGAUAUUCAAAAUUAUCUUGGUCAAUCCUUAUGAUUGAACUAAUUGAAAAUUGAAUCUUCUGAAUAAUAUAUUUUUAUUGUUUCAUUAACAAAGGAGUAAUUCAAGUUGGUGAACACAAUAGCAAAUCUUUUUAAUAAAAAUAACAGCAAUAAAAAAAUAACAAAUAUUUGAAAUUUGAUAUUAAAAUAUGAACAAUGACAAAAAUACUGAAAGAAGUUACAAUAUUAACAAAUAUUGAUAUAAAACAAUGGUUAAAAAAUUGUCUUCAUAAACAAUAGCACGUGCAUUUUUCUCGUGCAGUUACGUCAGGUGACCAUGUAUUCAGUGAAUCACAAGUAAUAAAUAAACAAAAAAUAUGAGUGUGUCUUACCUGAGUUAUACAUGUUAUAACCAACAAAAGUAUUAAAAGUCUUAAAACAUUUUUAAAUAUUAUAAUAAUAUGCCCUAGCAAGAUACAUAAACAAUCAACCUUAAGAAAAACAAUAACAAAAGUAAACCUAAUUUAGGUAAACAUGAUAACAUGGUACGCAUUUAACAAAAAAAAUUAAAAAUUAAAAAAAAAAUUCUGAAAAACUUGGAACAUUUUUAGAACACAAAAUAUUAACAUUGAUGAAAUAGUGUCAUAGCCUAUGAGGAAAUCGUUUUAAAAUCAAGUUACUUCCCAAAUAACUGACAUCUACUUUACAUGUGUAUAUGUCUCAAUCCCACUUUGAAGAUGUAGAUUUGGUACAUGUAUCAUAAACGUCUGACUGCUUUUGCAGUGUGAAUGCGUCACUCAUGACAUAAUUACAUAUAUACAUCUAUAUUUAAAACAUUACACAUAUAAACCUUUAUCUAGAACAUCCGAAAUUGAUGAACUGUGAUCGUUAACAAAAGCUAUCCUAUAUACUUGACUAAUAUGAUAGAUAUACACUGAUAUUUCUAUAAGGUUAUUUUUGUAUGUUGAAACUCUUUUUAACUUUUUUGGAUUCGAGCGUCACUGAUGAGUCUUUUGUAGACGUAACGCGCGUCUGGCGUAUACAUGGUAUAUGCUAAAUUUAGCCCUGGUAUCAAUGAUAAGUUUAUCUAAGUGCUUUUUUUCUAUCACAUUCUUAAAAAUUUCGAAAAAUAUUUAUCAUUAAGUAUGAAGGAAAUCGAGAGGAAAUGAGUUGGGGGAUAGACACGUGAAUAAAUAAUAUACAAAGCUCUUUAUUACAAUGAUUAGUCGAUGAAAGGUAUGAAGUAUUUGAACAGAAGCUAUGAAAGACUCAAAUGUGCAAUCAAACAGUUAAGACUAUUUAAGAUCUGCAUCGUCAAAAAUAGUUAUAUUAGUAUUUGAAACAUAUUACAUUACUAAUAUAUUAUAUUGUAUUAAUAAACAUUGUAAAUC